rnacentral:rRNA from 1 species
GACGAACGCUGGCGGCGUGCCUAAUACAUGCAAGUCGAACGCUUCUUUUUCCACCGGAGCUUGCUCCACCGGAAAAAGAGGAGUGGCGAACGGGUGAGUAACACGUGGGUAACCUGCCCAUCAGAAGGGGAUAACACUUGGAAACAGGUGCUAAUACCGUAUAACAAUCAAAACCGCAUGGUUUUGAUUUGAAAGGCGCUUUCGGGUGUCGCUGAUGGAUGGACCCGCGGUGCAUUAGCUAGUUGGUGAGGUAACGGCUCACCAAGGCCACGAUGCAUAGCCGACCUGAGAGGGUGAUCGGCCACAUUGGGACUGAGACACGGCCCAAACUCCUACGGGAGGCAGCAGUAGGGAAUCUUCGGCAAUGGACGAAAGUCUGACCGAGCAACGCCGCGUGAGUGAAGAAGGUUUUCGGAUCGUAAAACUCUGUUGUUAGAGAAGAACAAGGAUGAGAGUAACUGUUCAUCCCUUGACGGUAUCUAACCAGAAAGCCACGGCUAACUACGUGCCAGCAGCCGCGGUAAUACGUAGGUGGCAAGCGUUGUCCGGAUUUAUUGGGCGUAAAGCGAGCGCAGGCGGUUUCUUAAGUCUGAUGUGAAAGCCCCCGGCUCAACCGGGGAGGGUCAUUGGAAACUGGGAGACUUGAGUGCAGAAGAGGAGAGUGGAAUUCCAUGUGUAGCGGUGAAAUGCGUAGAUAUAUGGAGGAACACCAGUGGCGAAGGCGGCUCUCUGGUCUGUAACUGACGCUGAGGCUCGAAAGCGUGGGGAGCAAACAGGAUUAGAUACCCUGGUAGUCCACGCCGUAAACGAUGAGUGCUAAGUGUUGGAGGGUUUCCGCCCUUCAGUGCUGCAGCUAACGCAUUAAGCACUCCGCCUGGGGAGUACGACCGCAAGGUUGAAACUCAAAGGAAUUGACGGGGGCCCGCACAAGCGGUGGAGCAUGUGGUUUAAUUCGAAGCAACGCGAAGAACCUUACCAGGUCUUGACAUCCUUUGACCACUCUAGAGAUAGAGCUUCCCCUUCGGGGGCAAAGUGACAGGUGGUGCAUGGUUGUCGUCAGCUCGUGUCGUGAGAUGUUGGGUUAAGUCCCGCAACGAGCGCAACCCUUAUUGUUAGUUGCCAUCAUUCAGUUGGGCACUCUAGCAAGACUGCCGGUGACAAACCGGAGGAAGGUGGGGAUGACGUCAAAUCAUCA